UUUUUUUAAAGGUCGUGAGGUAAGUACCCAAGUGACGAGACUUUGUUGCCCUUUAGGCAUUGUGUGAUCCACGGGCUUUCUACCGGUCAAGAGUUCGAGUAGAACGACUCCAAAACUGUAUACAUCGCUCUUUUGAGUUAUUUGUCCCGUCAUUGCGUACCUGGGAGUGAAAGGCAAAAAAUUAUUAGUAUCCUAAAUAGGUUAAAUUCAACAAUUUGUCCAGUUUCCAAAACCGUACUAGAACAUAUGGUAUGCUAAUCAAACUCGAUUCUCCUUUGUUGAAAAACCGAUUUCAGUUAACAGGUAACUAACCAAAUUCAGUUUCAGUUUAUUAAAUAGAGAUGUUUUCAUGAGUAAUUUACUCUGGAGCAUGGUAGCCGAAAGUUCCCAAAACACGAGUCGAAUGCAACCGGGCAGCGGUAUCGGACGAGGCACUAGAGAUGUUGAAAUCGGCAAUCUUGGAGGUGAACUCAUCGAAUAGAAGAACAUUGCUCGACCUUACAUCCCUAUGGACGAUAGGAGGCUGGCAUUUCUCGUGCAAAUACUCCAACCCUUUUGCUGCUCCAAAGGCUAUCUUCACUCUCUGGCUCCAGUUCAGAGCCGGUCCUGGCUCGGCCCCUUGCACCCCUUUCCUUCCUGCAAACAAUAAUUCAAAUUUCUCGAAGUUGGGAUUUUAAUUUAUCGUCAAUAACAACAAUGAAAUUGAUCGGAAUGAGAAAAUUAUAUAAAAUUAUACAUACCGUGUAACACAUCGUGUAAUGAACCCAUGGAUGCAUAUUGAUAAACCAAGAUUCGGUUGUUUGCCUCAAGGCAGUAACCCAUUAGCUCCACGAAGUGGUCGUUUUUCAAUCUAGAAACUACUGAUAGCUGCAUUCAUUAGCACAACAAGGUAUCGGUUAGUAUCGUAUUCAAACCGGAAAUUCGAACUACAAAAGGUUUACUCGUUAACAAAAUUGAGUUAAACAGUUUUUCUUAUAUCAAAUAGAAAUAUAUAAUAAAUAAGAGGAGUCCAAACUUGAGACACAUCAAUAUUAAUGAUCACUUUUGGCCAAAAAUUAACUUGUAUUACACUAAAGUUAUAGGCUCACCAUGCUAGACCGGCUAUAUGCCAGGUUGGGCAAUCUAGCCGGUUCGAUAUGGUUUUUAAAUGUUGUUCUUUUGUGAUGAGAAUUUUUGUUGUUAGUUUCUCUUCAUUGUUAAAUUGAACCCUAAGUUCCUUGGGUAGGAUUGAAAAGAAGAUUGUGAGUUACCUGGGCUGCAAAAUCGGUGUCGGGUUCUUGAGACGUGCUAGUAUCGAGCUUCUUGAUUGCGGCGGGGACGCCAUCACUCAAUGUGGCGUAGAAGACCCGGCCGUAGGAUCCUUCUCCGAUUAGGGCCUUUUGGCCGAAGUUGUCGGUCAAUUGAUUGAGCUCGUCGAGCGACAUAGCAGGGGUCUCAAUCGGCAACAUUUUUGUUGGUACUCCUCUUGGCGGAUUCGCUGCUCUGAGAUCAGGCGCUGCAUGUACACGUGUGUCACCAACAUCAUAAAAAAUUUCGUCGUAACAUUCGAACCUUGAAACCAACAUUACAACGAGAAAAAAAAGAGAAGAACGUUAUGAGGGUACCUCCAUAAGGACUGCCUUUGGGUUGGGCAGUGUAUUGACUCGCGGGUGGGUAAGGAUCCUCCUCCGCUCCUCCACAACACAACAUAUCCCUCUGAGUUCUUUUGAUUUAAAUACUAAAAACACGAACCCUCCUGCAAAUUUCAAAUGAAUGUGAAACUUGAUACUCAAGGAAAAGAAAUGGAAAAAAUUACUAGAUGAAAACUUUGAAAAGAGGCUUACCUUAGAGAAUUUAUCCUGAAUUCCCGGAUAAAAAAUUGAAAUCUUAAAUGAUUGUGAUUCAAAAACUGGAUUUUUAAUUAUUUGUAUGAUCGAUAUAUUUAUUAAAUCAGAAAACCAUGUAACAUAAACGCAACGAGAAGAAUGAACAUGAAAUGUAUUAAAUCUUCUUCAUGUUCUCUUCCAUUCUUCUCUCCUACGGAUUAUACUUUCUUUUUCGUGUGUCAAUGAUGAUUGAUUUUUUUCCCUGUUCUAAUCGUACUUUGUGGGUUUGGGUUGGGAGGGAAAGAAGGGAGCACUCAACCGGCUUUCGAUCGCGCAAUUUUUAUUUUAUUUUUCUUUUUGUGUUUUUUCUUAUUAUUCUUUUCUUAAAAAAAUUAUAACUUAUAAGAUGAACAACUUGAAGAAAAAUAAAAUCUAAAUCAUCUCCUAUUUCUACGUUCUCUUCAAUCAAACCUAACCCCCAUUCCCCUUUAUCUUUCAUUUAUAUUUUAUACACAAUAGAGAAUCCAUAACAUACACAGUGUUCUAAAAGAUAACAAACAAAUAAAUAUGGAUCGUUGAAUCUUAACAACACUGUUGAAAUAUGAACGUUAUGUUGAUUUUUAUGAUUCAUUAUACAUUUGUAUUGUAAAGAAUUAAAGGGAGUUUUUCUCAAAUCGAUAAAGAGUAAGACCGAACACAUUUCGCUCAAUUCACGGACAGACUAAUUUCGAGAUUAAUCUGGCCGCACAUUGACCCGACCGAACCGGGUGAUUACUGAUUAGCACACCAAUUUGAAAAAUAAUGAGGGGUUUACAUUUCCGCGCCCUGAAAGAAAACUCAAAAAUACAGAAAGAGAAAAGCUACAGAGCUUUUUUUUUUGUCUCUCACUCUCACUUCACACACUGACAACGAAGAACUCUCCCUCCCCAAUUCUCCAGAACCCUCGCCAUUUUUUUGCAGCGAGGAUAACAAGGAGGUGGAGUAAGGAACGGCAAAGAAAUGGAAGACGAAGAUCAGCAGAAGACGAUAGAUCUAGUUAAGGAGCUAGUUCACCGUCUCCUCUCUCCCAAUCCAACCGCCGCCACCGCCGCAAACCCUAAUUCGCCCGAUCUCACCAAUUCUCUCCGUUACGCCGUCCGAAUUCUCUCCAGCAGGCUCACUCCGUCGAUCGCUCCCGAUGCGGCGGCAAUCGCCGAGUCCAUCAAGCGCCGUCUCGCCACUCAAGGUAAGUCCUCCGAGGCGCUGACGUUCGCCGAUCUGAACAACAAGUUCGCCUCCAAAGUAGGGCCCGGUAGUAUCAACAACAAGUGGGCGGUUCUUUACUUGUUGAAGAUUAUAUCCGAGGACAGGAAGCUGUCGCAUUCCUCGCAGAGUUCGGCGCUUCUGCUGCCAAAUUUGAGUCUGGACGACCGUGAAUCAUUCACGGAAGGGGAAGGGCGUGGUGGCUCGAGGAGAGGGGAGAGUGGGGUUCUUCUGGUGGCGAAGGACCCGGAGAAUUUGCGGGAGAUUGCGUUUAGGGAGUAUGUGAAUUUGGUUAGGGAGGAGAAUGAGGUGUCUGAGGAGGUUUUAGUGAGGGAUGUGUUGUAUGCUUGCCAAGGGAUUGACGGGAAGUACGUGAUAUUCGAUUCGAGUGAAGAUGGUUAUAUGUUGCCAGAGACGUUUAAGGUUCCCAGGGCGAGUAGGGUUAUGGUGAGGAAGCUUUGUGAAUUGGGGUGGUUGUUUAGGAAGGUUAGAGGGUACAUUUCUGAGAGUAUGGAUAGCUUCGCUACCGAAGAAGUGGGAACUGUAGGUCAGGCAUUUUGCGCUGCUUUGCAAGAUGAGCUUUCUGAGUACUAUAGGUUAUUAGCUGUGCUCGAGACACAGGCUACGAACCCGAUUCCAUUGGUUUCCGGGUCAGCUACUUCGGGGAACUAUCUAUCAUUGAGGAGGUUAUCAGUUUGGUUUGUGGAGCCGAUGGUGAAAAUGAGGGUAAUGGCUGUUUUGAUCGAUACUUGCAAAGUCUUGAAGGGUGGUGCCAUGGCUGGAGCUAUACAUUUGCACGCUCAGCAUGGCGAUCCUCUUGUGAAUGAGUUCAUGAGGAGUUUGCUCCGACGAGUAUGCUCUCCGCUUUUCGAAAUGGUCAGACGAUGGGUUUUGGAAGGAGAACUGGAAGAUAUAUUUUCCGAGUUCUUUGUUGUGAGCGAGACGAAGGAAUUGGAGUCUGAUGUGAGCCAAAAGGGGAAAGAAUCUCUUUGGAGGGAAGGCUACAGACUUCACUCCAAGAUGCUUCCUUCUUUUAUUUCUCAGUCCCUUGCUCAACGCAUUUUGAGGACCGGGAAAUCGAUUAACUUUCUACGUGUCUGCUGUGAUGACCGUGGAUGGGCUGAUGCUGCCACAGAGGCUGGAGACGCAGCAGGGACAAGUACUAGAAGGGGAAGUCUUGGAUAUGGCGAAACCGAUGCGCUUGAAAAUCUUGUUGCUGAAGCAGCAAAGAGAAUUGAUAAGCAUCUACUGAACGUUAUGUAUUCAAGGUAUAAGUUCAAAGAGCAUUGUCUUGCAAUCAAGCGUUAUUUAUUGCUUGGCCAGGGUGACUUCGUUCAGUACCUAAUGGAUAGUAUAGGGGAAGAGCUUUCUGAACCUGCUAAUACCAUCAGCACGUUCAAGUUAGCUGGCUUUUUGGAAAGUGCAAUCCGAUCGUCCAAUGCUCAAUACGAUGACAGAGACAUACUUGAUAGGGUGAGGGUUAACAUGAUGGUACAAAGCACUGGUGAUAGAGGAUGGGAUGUGUUCUCAUUGGAAUAUGAUGCUAGUGUGCCGUUGAAUACAGUGUUCACAGAAUCUGUCAUGGCUGAAUAUCGCAGAAUCUUUAACUUCCUAUGGAAGCUGAGGCGAGUGGAGCAUGCACUUAUCGGCGCUUGGAAAACAAUGAAACCGAAUUGCAUCACUUCUCAUUCUUUUGUUAAGCUGCAGGGUGGGGUUAAAUCACAGUUGCUUAUAACUAUGAGGCUAUGCCAGGUAGAGGCGAUGCCAGGUUCUCUGGAAUGAGAUGAACCAUUUCGUCUCAAACUUACAGUAUUACAUUAUGUUCGAAGUAUUGGAGGUAUCCUGGUCAAAAUUUUCAGACGAGAUGGAAGCUGCAAAGGACCUCGAUGAUCUUCUUGCGGCACAUGAAAAGUAUCUUCACUCAAUUGUCGAGAAGUCUCUCCUUGGCGAACGGUCUCGGCCUCUUUGCAAGUCGCUUUUCGUUCUGUUCGACCUUAUACUACGUUAUAGAGGUCAUGUCGAUCGGUUAUACGAAGGCAUCUACGAGUUGCAAGCAAGGUAUUUUUCUCUGCUACUGUCAAAUAUAUUAUCUUUUUCAGCUGUUUUAAUUUGGACCCAUGUUGAAGCUUCCAGUUCCUUUUGUUUCCUCCAGAAAUGCAGGGUCCUUACCGUCUAAAGACAAGACCAAAUCAUCAAAGCAGACUGCAAAAAGACCUUCCAAGCCCGGAUCAUGGAUUAGCGACGGAAGGAAAGCUCUCACACAACGGGCCGGGGAAUUUCUUCAAACUAUGGGGAAAGAAUUAAACGCUACUGCAAAGGAAUAUACCUCUCUGCUGGAAGUUUUCUUAUCUGAGUUGCCUGUCCAGCAACACAUUGAUCUCAAGUUCCUUCUAUUCCGGCUCGACUUCACCGAGUUUUAUAGCCGACUCCAUCCCACCAAAUGAUGUAAGCUGUUAGCACUUUAGGAGCCUUCCCAAAUGUAAUUACCCGUAAAGGAGAUGGCCACUGCUGAGUACGCAGUUUCUCGCUGACAGCAAGCGGCCCUUUUUCAAUAGGUACUGAACAUUUUCUCCACUCCCUAAUCUACAGCAUUCUAGUUUUCUCGUAAUCGAUCUGACAACGUUGUUCAUUUUUAUCAAUUGCAGAUGGCAUGUUCUACUUUCGCUACGAUUGCUUGAAAAUUUGGAGAUCGUGGCGGAAGUAACUCUGGAUUAUCCUUGAUUGUUGUUAGUAAGUAGUUGGUAACCUAUCAAGUGUGUGAUGGUUUCGUUGGGGUUGAUUUUUCUUCCGAUUUCGGCAAGCACAAGGUUGUCUUUCCACAUUUUUUGUUAACCAGCUCCUCUGAUUCAACACUUAACGAUUGUGUUGAGAUAGUUAGGAAUCUGUAAGAUUUGCUUGGAAGGUUUGUACUGGGAAUGCAGAGCAGUGUUUUUGUGUACUUUGGCUUCAAUGAAGUGUUUGGCAAUGAAUUCUUCUGUGAUUACUUUGAUUUAACAAAGAAUGUAUGAUGAUCAAAUCUCCAGGACUGAGUAAUUCAGAAAACCUGCUAAAACCUUACUCAAAUUUCGAAUUUCGGAAACAGUUUCUACAGCUAUCCCGAAGGCAAACAUAAAGUCAUCCUGCUAAGGUAUAUUUCUUCCCAGUAAAUGGCUGAAACUGCUUUACUUCCUCUCUAACCACCGCAGCUUUCUCCUCCACCACCAUUGCAGACUCUACGGCAGCUGUACCAUUCAAGCGCCUCCCCACACCGGAGAACGGGACGAAUACUCCAGCCUCUUGAACCCGUCCCUGCUCUUUUUCUUCAACCUUCUUCGGCUCCACGUAAUCCAGAGGAGUAGCAAAGUCCACUUUGAAAUCCGUGUCGAGAAUACAGACCGCGGGGGCUGGCUUCGUUUCGACAACAUCGACGUAAAAUUUCCUGCUUUGAUACUCGAGCAGGAGCGUGUCCCCCGAAGUCAAGCAGAAGAAGUUGGCGCUCAGGAUCUGUUCGAGAGCAGUCUUCAUAUCUCGAAUCGCCCAGAAUUCAACCGAGUGUGGCUGCAGCUUGGUGUAGGUGCACUUUUCGAGGGCCUCGACGUUCUUGAUCAGCUUCACUCUCUUGCCAGCCUCCACGUUCAGAUUCUUCAUCAUCCAUUUGGGCACCAUCACCGUUCCUUCCUCCGCGGUGAACUCCGCAACCCCGCAGUGAGACGCCUUCGAGUCCGAUUCUGAUUCAUUCCGAAUCCCGAACAGCAUCGGGUAACUAACAUCCUUGUCCAUGAGCUCCACCAAUGCGGAUUCCGGCAUUACAAUCUGCCCGCCUUGUUCGAGGUGCUCCUUCCCGGACAGUGGACGGCAGGUGUAGCACCGCUCGAAGAUUAUUCUGGCGGUUUCGCACAGUUCAUCCGAGUCGGAAUCAUUGUCCUCCCCGGAGUCCUCUGUUUCGCAAUCACCAUCCUCCUCGGAGUCUUCUGUUUCGGUCUCUCCCUCCUUAGCCGCCGCCUCCUUUUCAGGAAUAGCUUCAGGAUUAGCUGCCUCCUCUGGAUCUGGUUCCGACAUCAUUUCGUCCGGCUGGGGAAGGGGUGAUUCGGGGGAACUCGGAUCGGCGGUGGGGAUCUCGGUAUUGUCAGUGUAAUCCAAGCAGUCCAUGGUGGCGGCUGCUGGUGAAGAUUUGGAGACCUGUGGAGAGGAAAAUAGAGUGCUAGUAGUAGUAGGAGACGCAAUCGUUAUAACAACAAGCGAAACUUGAGGGCCACGAAACCUUUUCAGUUUUGAGAAUAUUUGACGGUGGAAAACAACUAUAUAUAAGGAAACCCUCCGUGGUGGCAAUACUUGUCUACCAAGUUUUAACGGUAAGUUGACGGAAGAAUUUGUCAGAUAACGGCUCCGUUGGUUAACUUGAACAUUUGUUAGUGUAUAAACAGUAUAAUUCUCGAUGAGUCGAGAAAAAUGAUUACCAAAGCAACGGGGAAAGAGCCGUCACCAUUGGAGUAGCGGCAUAAACUGUAAAAAAAAAACUGUUUGAUGAUCUAAAAUGGCAGGAUUUAGGCACUAACCCACGGCGUCUUAUGCUGACAUCCAAACCGUGCUAGUGCCUCUGUCGGGAGUCGACAGUUGGACAACAUAUAGCUAGUAUAAUUCUCCAUGAGUUCGGGAAAGCGAUUGCCAAACGACGGGGAAGGAAAAGUCUCCGUCGUAGUAGCGACAAGUAAAAAAUGAAGAAUCUGAUUGGUGAGUAAACUACUACCCAAACCCUGUCAGUGCAUCUGUCAAACUGGGGUCUAUUACUUGGAAGGCAAUUAUCCUAAUCGUUGGACUACAAAUGCCAUAUGUAUGGAUAGAAAUUAUAGAUGAAUAACUUCACUCAAACAAGACAGAGAGAUUUAGUCAUCAUGCACUGUGUAAUAAAAUGCAUUUUUCGUACUAAAUGCACUGUGUAACGAGACUGAGAGAUUUAGACUCUAAUAAUUCAGCAAUAGUUUGCCUCGAAUACAAUAAUAUGUAACUAUUUUAACUCUUUAGGUUCGAGCACUCGUCAAUGUUUUUCAUCGUACAAGCUACAAAUUCAACUGAAAUAAAACUUAUUGGUGGCUUUUUGAUGAGCGAAGUUCGAUUUCAGCUCGUCAAGGUUAGUUAACGAGCUAGACUCGACUGAGUAUAUGGCUCGUUAGUAGACUCAUUACAAAGUUGGUUUGUUUCGAAUAAUCAUACAUAAUUAAUAAAUCAUCAUAUAUGUAAUUUGUUGUUGUGCUAAAUGAAAAUGAAAGUAGUACAGUUUUAACCAUUUUAAUUGAUAAAAAAAUUAACAUUUAAUUAAAAUUUCAAAUUAAGCUAAAAUUGGACUCAUGAUUGGUGACUUAUUGAUGAGAGAAUUUCGAGUUCAUCUCGAAAAAAACAAAAUACCGUUUCAUUUAAAACACAAACCCAAAACACUAAAAUCAAGUUACAUUAUUUCAAUAUACAUAUCCCCAAUCAGCAAAUCAUUGAACGCAUAUCCCCAAUCAGCCUCCAAAUUCGAACCAGACUGCUGAACACCCUCCUGCUUCAAGGCGUCCACUUCCUUGCCAGCGUUCAAAUUGUACCGAAAGUCCAGGUUGGAACUAGUACCUGAAGGAUCAGUCCCCCCACAAGAAUUGGAUGCCUCUGACAUUUUCUUCUUCUAUUCGGCUCGAAAAGAAACAAGCUAGACUGUAAGCUGCUGGUUUGAUUUUGAUCUCCAUUUUAUACUGUUUCAGUCUCCUUCACCUGUGUAUGAAACCGAGGAAGGGAGAAACAUGGUCAGGAGAAAAACUUAUAAACUUUGACGUCUUUGUGGAAAUAGGUGGUCUGGUGAGAAUCUUGGCAAUAGAGUAGGAUCGUUGGUUUUUCCAAAUCUUGUUUUGGACUGGUCGAAGGGAAGCUGACAAAAACGAACUCCAUCGACAUCAACAGUUCAACACCUACUAUUAUCCAAGAGCAAACAAUUGCAAUGUCGUUUCCCCUCCAGCUAGAACGAGCUUCCGCGUCAUCUGCUGCUCUCAGGGGCAUUUUUUCGAACAGUUUAGCGGCAAGAAUGUAAGACUUCCAUUCCCGCGGUACUCGUUCCUCAAUCAUUUCCUCCGACUCCAGGAGAUUCAAUGAUUGGAAAACGAACAGGAAGGAGAUAGAAGUCGCCGUCGGAGCAGGGUCAAGUAAACUACGCAAAAAAAAAAAAAAAACUGAUCACGCAAAAUGGCAGCAUUCAAGCAUUAGCCGACGGCGCAUUAAACUAAUACCUGACGUACUGCUAGUGCGUCUGCCGGGAGUCGAACCCGGGUCUAUUGCUUGGAAGGCAAUUAUCCUAACCGUUGGACUACAGACGCUUUUGAUAGUUUUGCUAUUAUAAUAUCAAUAUAUUCUUAAUACAAACGCCAAAUACAGAAUUCCAACAUGAGUUGCCCCAAAUAAAAAUCCAACAAGACUAUCAAUUUCAUCAACAUCAAAAUAAUGCUACAUCAAAACGAUUAAACACCACAUUUUACCUCGUAAAUCACAAAACAAACAACUUUAUUAUCUUAAAGAUAUGUAAUUGAAAUAAAUUAUAUACAAAAAAUUGUUACGUGUCCAAAUGAAUAUUACAUCAUUAAAUAUGAAAUUAACAUACUAAUUUAAAACCUUUUAAACACUCUUUUUUUAUAAAUUAACUUUUGAAAAUGAAUUCUAUCAAAUAAAUUAUAACAAAAAUCUUUAUAUUUCAACGCAUAACUCAUACUUAAAUUUUCCAAAACCAUACAACAAAUUGAACGUCACGUAAAACAUCGCCUCCAUGAUAAACCAACCCGGCCUUGCUUUGCCCUAGCAUUGGAGUUUGGUGUCACCACACUAUUUACCCAAAAUGUCAAAUUUUCUCACGUCCCUUUUCUACCUCGCUGUAACUGUUUUUCCUCGUUUUUCUUCACCGCGCCCCAAACAAACAAAAACCAGCCUCCAUUCCUACAUUCUUCACCAAAAGUGAAGCAACCAAAUCUCAUCGUCCCCCCAAAACCCCGUCUCCGUCCUCGUAAUUCUCUCGAUCUCUCGCCGCCGAUCUAAACACCAGCUGGCGCAACCGUCGGCACCGACCUUCCGAUCCCCGCGGAUUAUCACUCUGAGUUAAUUCGCCAAAUUGAAUCGCCGACGCUACUCGGCUUCUAGUUUUGCGUUACAAUUCGGUUGAAUCGCUUAGGUUUUCAAGAUUCGAUUUAAGAGAGUUUUUGUGACAGAUGGAUUGUACAUUGAUUUGAAAAGGUCAGGCAUAAGAACGAAGAAAGGAUGCCGGGACUGCCGCAGAAGUACGAGCAAUUCAGUACUAGUAACGUAUCGUACUCCGUCUCCAGCAAUGGAUUCUGGUCCAAGCACAGCGAUGAUCUCGGUUACAAUCAGCUCCAGAAGGUCGUAGACUAUGUCGUUUGUCUGUGUUUGAACGUUUCAUUCGUUUAGCUCAUUGGGAAUAGAAACUGUGUUUGGAUUGGAUUGGAUAGAAUUGAAUCAGUGGUGUGCUGUUUAUUGGUUUCCUUUUUGUAUCUUAAUGCUAGGAUUGGAUCCGGCUAUGGCAAAUUGUUCACCUGUUGGAUGUGUAUUUUGUUGUUUUGAAGUGUUGUUCCAGCUGCAUUUCUUGUGGCAUUUGAAUUGUUGAUCAUCCUAUGUAUUUGGAUAAAUACUUUGGAUUCCACCCAGGAACUACAGCUCUUUAGCAUUUUGAAGCCUGUUUUUCUCUUUGAAUGAAGAUUUCGUUUAGAACUGGUGGUUUGAAGCAAAAUGAACAAGUUUGCAGUCAUUUUUGUGACAUACUUACAGCUAUAAUGAAAUGUAUCUGAGUGGCUUUUUCUUUUUUUGGCUUUCCUGUCUUGUUGGGGUGUGUGUCUUUAAUAAGUGUGCGAGUGUUUUGACAAGUGACUAAAAUGUUCAAAACUCAUCAAAUGGAUGGUGUAACAAAUAUGAUCAUGGGCUGUCGAGAUGAAAUUCAAGAUCCAGCUGUACAUCAUUGGGGUGGUUUAACAACUACGCGGGGUGGAUCCUUGACACUUUUGGAUUGCUACGUGUGUUCAAAAUCUCAUGAAGGACUUCAAAACGUGAGUUUUUAUUUGGGCUUCUUGUUUUGUUUACAAGGUAGUCAUUUUCUUGAGUAUCUUAUGCUUUUCCUCGUAUCAGGUCUUUAAUAGUGCGCGUGCACGGGAGAGGGAAAGGGAACUGCUCUAUCCAGAUGCUUGUGGUGGCGGAGGCCGGGGCUGGAUAAGCCAAGGAAUGCCAACUUACAGUAGAGGCCAUGGAACAAGAGAAACAUGUGCAUUACACACAGCCAGGCUUUCGUGCGACACAUUAGUGGAUUUCUGGUCAGCUUUGGCAGAAGAGAACAGGCAGUCUCUUCUUAGGAUGAAAGAAGAAGAUUUCAUUGAACGGCUUAUGUAUAGGUGUGCAUUUCUAAUUUAUGGAUCUUAUGACCAUAGUAGAAAAGUGAAACAGCUAUGGAAUCUUGUUGAUAUAGUCCUUUUCUGGGUAAGUUCUAGGGCUACUGAGUACUGACUUUAGAGGAGAGGCGAAAGCAGCAGGAAAUUAAUAUUAUAAAGUCUUAGAAAGAAACUGCUCUUAUAUCUUUGAUCAGUUAGUAUAUCUUGUAGGUCUAAAUUCUUAGAAAGAAACCUUUUCAUCUCCUUAUUAACGCAGACAAUUCUAUCUCAUCAAGCUCUUGCAUUGAAAUGUCUAUCCAUCUUAGUGGACUAGAAUCUAGGAUUCUGAAUUACUGAUAGGAAACCGGGUAACUGCCCGUUUUAUAAUGUGUCCUAAGGGGCAAGGUAAACGAAAGGACACAACGGUUCUGACAUCUGAGCUAACCUCACCGCCUUUAAGACUGACACAGUGGUGUUUUAAGCUUUGCUACUGUCACUAAGUUUGUUUAUGGGACUAUUGGAGUUAUUCUUAAGUAUCUCUUUUUAUUCUUUGCUUAUCUUACUCAUUGGUCUGGUUCUGGGUUGUCUUAAUUUAACUGCUUACACACCAAUGCUACAGGUUUGACAGCAAGAGAUUCUGCAGAGAUUGUAGGAGGAAUGUUAUCAGAGAAUUCAAGGAGCUUAAAGAAUUGAAGCGUAUGCGAAGAGAACAACGUUGCACUAGUUGGUUUUGUGGUGCAGAUACUGCUUUCCAGUAUGAGGUAUUCAUAUUAAUUUUUUAUGAUGUUUGUUGAGUUGCAGUAUAUUGUGGAACACUUCACAAAGAUUGAUUAUGUAGGUUUCUAAUAUAAGAUUGUCGCCUUACUAUUUGUUCAGGUGUCAGAUGACAUGAUACAAGCUGAUUGGCACCAAACCUUUGCCGAUUCUGUUGGGACUUACCAUCACUUUGAAUGGGCUGUUGGAACAGGAGAAGGGAAGUCUGACAUUUUAGAAUUUGAAAAUGUAGGGAUGAAUGAUAGUGUGCAAGCUGAUGGGUUGGAUCUGAGUGAUUUGACGGCAUGCUUCAUCACGUUGCGGGCUUGGAAAAUGGAUGGCCGCUGCACUGAGUUUACUGUAAAAGCCCAUGCAUUAAAGGGUCAACAAUGCGUUCAUUGCAGGUUAAUAGUUGGUGAUGGUUUUAUUACAAUUACUAGAGGUGAAAGCAUCAGAAAUUUUUUUGAACAUGCUGAAGAGUGUGAGGAAGAAGAGGUACUUACGCUUUACUUUCUGGAUAUCACAUUUUUUUCGAAGAUAGUUCAAGUGUUGUGUUAAAUGCUCUUCUUCCCAUUGGUAUUAAGUUUGUCAUUGCUUGAAUUUUGGGUUCUUCCAGGAUGAUGACUCCAUGGAGAAGGAUGGCAAUGAGCUUGAUGGAGAAUGCUCCCGUCCCCAAAAGCAUGCGAAGAGUCCUGAACUUGCGCGAGAAUUUCUUCUAGAUGCUGCUACUGUUAUUUUCAAGGAACAGGCACGUGAACUUACAUGCAAUGUCAUUUUUUCCCGACUCUGAUUUCAGAAGUUAACAAUGAUAAUCCGCUAAGAUCUCGCUCCCAAGUGUUGCAUGAGAAUGAUUCUGAAUUUAGAUACUCUGCAGCUCUAAUAAAAAUGACGAUAUUUCAGGUCGAAAAGGCUUUCAGAGAAGGAACUGCACAACAAAAUGCCCAUAGCAUUUUUAUCUGCCUUGCACUAAACCUGUUAGAAGAACGGAUCCAUGUUGCAUGCAAAGAAAUUAUUACUCUGGAAAAGCAGGUACAAAAUGAAGGGCUGGGAGAUUUGUUGAAUAUGGAUCUAUCUUUACUAUGGAUAUUAUAUGGAUCUAUCUUUACUUUCUUUUUAAAUGAUAUUAUAUGGAUCUAUCCUUACUAUCAUUGCUGUUUUUCUAGACGAAAUUGCUUGAAGAAGAAGAGAAGGAGAAGCGCGAAGAAGAAGAGCGCAAGGAGAGAAGAAGACUAAAAGAAAGAGAAAAGAAGAAUCGCAGAAAAGAGAGGUUAAAAGGGAAAGAAAGGGAUAAAGAUAAAGGUUCCGAACCGAAUGACGUCUCUCUUCUUGAUGCAGUUAAGGACGAGUCUUCACUAGCAUCCAGUGAAGAUCCUAAUAACAGCGUCCGUAGCGGGGAUUCUGUAAGUGAAACAUGUGAUAAUUCUGUGUCCAGUCCAGGAUCACCGAACACAGAAGAACAAUUUUCCAAUGGGUGCACCACGUUCAUCAAGCAAGAUGAUUCGUAUGAUUGUCCGGAAGAGGAUGUUAUAAACGGGAAAGAUGGAAGUGGCUCUUUCAUAGUCGAGCAAUCAAAAUCUUCACGCCGGAGAUUGAAGUUUUGGAAAGAGGUCCAGCUGGAUUCGUCUGAUAGACGUGGACCAGCUAGUAGAUCUGACUCAAGGAAUCAUGGUGAAAAUUUCGAGAUUCCUUCAAGGAGCGUCAAUGGAUCGAGUAGACCAGCAAGGACGAUGGCACCGAAGUUUAACAGUCGAAACUAUGGCCCGAGGUUCAGUGAGAAGUUAAAUGGUUCCAACAGCCAGGUUAGUGAAAGAUUUGACUUCCAUUCUUGUAGUUGCAAUCAAGCUAAUGGAUACACAGCAAAAGUUGGGAGGGGCAGUAACUGUGCCUGUAAGUCUGGACAUGCAGCAGAUAUUCUGAAGCAAUUUCAUCGUGAUAACAAGUACAGUCAAGCUGAUUACACUCAUGAAGGUUGCGGAAGACCCAGAAACAAGGGUUCGACCGUGAAUCCUUCUGUACCCCAUGCCAAGAAAGUAUGGGAGCCCAUGGAUUCUCAGAAGAGGUAUCCUAGGACUAAUUCAGAGAGUGAUUUCUCUAAGCCAUCUAGUGGGAACUGUUGGAGCAAAGUCAACGGAAAUUCUGGGGAAACUAGUCAGAUCGACUGUAAAAUGAGUGAAGCUAUAGAAGAUUGCAGUGCUGAUGCAGCAAAGGAUGGAGAAGUCAAUUCGAGUCCUCCGAAUGGCUCACAAUCUAACGGGGCUUCCAAUCCUAGCUCCGUUAUCACGUUGAAUUCUGACAACAGUUCGUCGUGUCUGAGCGAAGGAGAUAGCAACGCCGCCUCUUCAAAUCAUGGACAUCUGGGAUCCUCUUCCGCAUCAGACUCCGAGGACUCCAGUCAGCAAUCAGAAGGCAGAGAAACUGGUUUUCCUGAGAGUCACGAAGCUAGAACGCCGAAAAACCCUGGUUCGGCAAAUGUGCAGCCUUCGAAUGGUCUGAAGUUCCAUGGAAUCCAGUCUGAUGGUCCAAGAGUAAGCAGCUGUACAGGAGACGGUCUCGCAAAAGCCACCGCCGAUGACACUGUCAGCAAUGUUACUACCACCGGCGCUCAACAUCAAGGCGUGUUCGCACCAUUGGCGAACCAGAGCUUACAGUACUCAGUGUUUCAAGCUCCUCCAUCAGUGAGUUACUAUCAUCAAAAUCUAGUCUCUUGGUCAGCCGCACCGGCAAUCCCCUUUCACCACCCGAACCAUCACCACCUCUACGCUAGCCCGAUGAGGUACGGUCUCGAUGGAAACUCGCACUUGUGUAUGCAGUAUGGUGGUCCGAUGCAGCCUGUCACGACGACAACUCCUCCCGUGUUCAACCCGAGUCCACCGCAAGUCCUGGUCGCGGAGGCACAACUGGAGAAAAAUACCGGAAAUGGUAGGAAGAUAGAUAGCUUUGCCAAACUGAACAUGGUGAAUAAUGAUUUCUCCUUGUUCCAGUUCGGGUGGCCUUUGAAAGACGGAGUAGAUGUUUCGGCAGGAGAUCGAAUCGAGAGCAAUUCGGAGGAGAAUGUAAUGGAAGAGUACAACUUGUUUGCAGCAAGUAACAACAGUAUGAAGUUUUCCUUCUUUUAAUUAUAGUGUUUGUGGGUUUGGGUUUGGGGGAAGGAAGAUUUGUGGAGGCUGGUUUUUUGCUAUUUCAGUCCCUAGUCUUCUUUACAAUUACAGUAUGGUUUUUUAAAGUAUUUUGUAUUGCCAAAGAGUACACAAAUAAUUUGAGCAAAAGAUUACCAUUCUUAGAAGAGUUUACAGUUUGGUCAGUGUGUUUUUUCAAAUUUACACCUUUUAGUUUUUUCAUGGUAUUUUGAGAUGGAAGGAUACCAAACGAUUGGUAACAGCAGAUGAAUUUUACAAGGUUGGAUGUGUGAGAUUUAAGCUUCUGAUAUUCCCUUCUGGAUUUGCCAUGGAUCUCGUUUUCCUAACAAGGUGCGAUAUUAUCAGUAUGAUAUUGUUGAUCGCUUAUUUCGCCUCUUAAUCAUGAAUAAAGUGGUUAUUGUAGUACCCGCCUAUUGCUUUGCCCUUCGUGCUGGCACCUUAAAGAUAGUAUGGUGUUAUAACAGUUAAUUACAUAACCGUUGCUGUUUUUGAAUCAUUAUUCGAAUUAUUAACUCUUAUUGGUAUAAUUUUCGAGCCUGCUAGCUAUGUGGCAAUGUGGUUAUUGACUAACGGUAACCUUUAGACUUCUGUGAUAAAGGAAAGAGUAUAUAUUGGCGGAUUCAAUUUCAAAAAUAAUAUUAAGAACACAGAAAUGGCCACUGCAAAAAUUGCAGGCCCUAUGCAGUGGAAACAGAAAAUCGAAGAACGGCAAACUAAAACCCUGGUUCAUCCACGAAUUCCGCGACCCUGACCAAACUGUCUCUUCUAAGAGUUGUAAUCUUUUCUCAAAUUAUUUGUGUACAAUUAAUUUGAUAUUUCUUCUUUUGUGAAACUCUAGAAUUCCUGACUAUAAAAAGAGUCUUGUUACGAAUUUUAAAAGUUUUCAGGGAUGUUUGGUAUAGAUACGGUUAUAUUGAAUUAUAGCCAUUCAAAAUAGUUCCGUGUUUUCGAGCUCAUAGUCCGAUUAAGUUACAAAAGUUUAAUCUUAAUUUGCUCGUUAAAAAUCUUAAAUAAAAAUUGUAUUUGAUGGGUAUGUCCGGUUCAAACUGACUCAAUCUACUGAAUUGAUCAAGAGAUAAUGAUUGUAGCUCGAUUAACUUAUAAAAAUGUGAGAAGGAUCAUAUUAACCAGAAGAGUCUCUCACACUGAAUUCCGCUUGCUUUCUGACUCCAAUGCUGAAGCUGAAGGACCAGUCUGGUCACUCUGUAAUGAAGGGAGAUUUCGUGUCAAACUUGCCCCGUUCAGGGAUCGGUCCUCCUUUCGAAGUUGAUCUCUCCAAAGCAACUGGCCUGAUUGGAGGUAACUAGUUGUCAAGUUCUGCCCUCUAUGUGUUUGUUAAAAUGCCCAAGAGACCCUGAAUCGCCCUACUGUUUGGUUUUGGUUGGAAACGUACAGGUGAGAAGGAAUACUACGAGAGACAAUUCGCUAUACUGAAGUCUUUCGAGGAUGUUGAUUCGCUCGAGGAACCAAAGGCCGAAGAGCAGGAUAUGCAUGAGCUCGCUCGUGCAUAUUUCCAACUGGGCAAAUAUCUUUCUCCUCUCCCUGAGCAUCAAUGGGGGUGUUGAAGUUUUGUGAUCCAAUUCCCACGGUCCUAUGUAACUCUCCACAUAGAAUCAUUUACGGGUCAGGUGACUGAAAACAGACAACCAAAUCACUUAUACAUUAGACUUCUGUGGCAAAGGAGAGUAUACAUAAAUGGACUCAUUUUCAAAACCAAAUAUUAAGAACACAGAAAUGGCCACUGCAAAAGAUUGCAGGCUCCUAUGCAGUUGAACCACAAAAUCGAAGAACAGCAAGAUAAAACCCUGGUUCAUCCACGAAUUCCGUGACCUCGAACGAACGGGAUGAUGCAACCUCUUGCAAAGAGAUCUCAUCAGGCAGCUGUGAAACUAUGAGUUCAGGAUACUCCUGUCUUUGCUGUUCCAGCUUUUCUCUUCCUUGCGGAUGGCUAAUCACCACUCUUGCACCUGCCCCGAAAUAAAUCCGAAACAUCAGGCAUGAGAUAGAGCAUUACAGUUUCCGAGCUUCACAUGAUGGCAUUAUGUUUCGGAAUAAAUCACGAAUUGCACAUUGGAGAACAAACAGCACCACGAGAAUGUGGCACUACGACACCUCAUAUAACUCAUGCAGACUGUGAUUCGAAGUUCAAACCAUUGGAUGAAAAUCACUCAUCAAGUGAGUACUGAGAAACAACAGUUGUUUUUGUAAAAAUCACGACACCAGAAUGUGCAUUGAAGAACAAAGUAUCUCAUAUAACUGACAACAGAGAGGUUUCCAGCGAUGGCACAAGACAAGUUUCGAACUUUGGGACGAACGAUAGACAGUUAUUUCAGAUGAAUCAUGAAUCACAUUAAUCAAAAGAACGCACAGCACAUGAAUAUACCAGAUUAUUGUCGAAAAACAAGGUUUGAACCUAUCACUCAUCCGAACGAACCAGCGAGAAAAACAUAAGUAGAACUCCGGUUUACCUGGUGAGCAGUGUCUGACAAGCUUCUCAAGAACUUGGUCAAGCUUGGAGGGCAAGGCAGGCAGAAAAUACAGGAAGACAACAUCAAGCGAUGUCCAUUUCUCAGGAAGAUCAAUCAGUUCACCUUGCCAACACUUCAAAUUCUCAUCAUACUUCUCUUUGAGAAGAGCCAACGUCAAGAGCGAUUCAUGCACAACAAGCAAGAAACUGUACAAUGAUGAUUCAUCCACCAGUUGAUCCACAAACUCUUCGGAGCUCGUCGAAACCAAAACCUUCGAGGCCUCAGUGAUCCCUCCUGCAGAAAUUAUCCGGCUGUUGUUCUGUCUUACAUCUUUCGAAUCUGAUGGCUCCUCGGGGUCGAGAAAGGACCAGUCUUUCUCAACAAAGUCUUCAAAGCUCAUAACAGGUAUAGAUCCUUCUUCGGAAGGAACUGCUGCAUCGAUUGAAGAAGUGCGGAGAGUGAACGAGUUGGUGAUCAGAGUUGAUGAAGAAGGAUGUCUGGAAGUCUGAGAAGAGAUGGAUAGUCGAUUCAACCAAGUAUGGUUCGAUGGCGCCUGAAGAAUGAGUGUCGAGGGGAAUGUGAUUGAAUUCAUGGAAGAUUACUAGCAGUCCACUCGAAGAGGCUCUUCGUUCUUCGAUUUAUCUUCCUGUAAGGAAGUCAACAUUACUGUAAGACAUUGAAGCUUACAGAAACUUCAUGAUUCAUACAUUCUAUAAUUAAGCAAAUAUUUCAACUUAUCUUCUUGAAAGUAAGACACAUUACUGUAAGAGCUUGCCAGCUGCAGCAAAUUGGUAGUAUAGCAAACGGAAACUUCAUGUUUAACACCGAAUGGCGAGAUUCGACAGAAUUAGGCAACCCUAUUAACAAUCAACAAUGAUUGAACUUGCACUUUGCAAUUUCCCAGUAACAAACAUUAAAAAACUGAUUCAUACAUUCUACAAUUAAGCAAAUAUGAAAUAUUUCAACUUAUCUUCCUGAAAGUAAGACACAUUACUGUAAGAGCUUGCCAGCUGCAGCAAUUAGGCAACCCUAUAAACAAUCAACAAUGAUUGAACUUGCAGUUUGCAAUUUCCCAGUAACAAACAUAAAAAAACUGAAAAUAAAAGCUCCCUAACACAACAAUCACUCAUAAAAUACUUAAACUACCAAAACCCCUAAACCCCACUUUUCUGAUGAAACAAGCUCUUCACUUUCUGAUUAAUUUUUUUUGAAAAUUAAGUUAAACACCCUUAUCCAUUUUUGGUCGAAAGAUCAAAGCUUGGGAGCCAAAAUGAUACCUAAACCCCAAUCCCAACUUUUCUGGUGAAACAAGAAGCUCUUCACUUUCCGAUUAAGUAUUCGAAAACUAAGUUAAACCCUUAUCCUUCUGUUCAAGAUUACAGCUUGGGAGCCUAAGUGAGUUCCCAGAUGAAACUCAAAACAAGGGUACGAAUGAAUUUUCCUUUCAAGUUGCACGGAAACCAAACAGCGCAGAAAUCAAAUGGGAAAAAGUGGGGAAAUGAUAAGAUCAGAAAGGAAAGCAAACCUGAGGAAACCGUCGGAGAAAGCGGUGGACUGAGAAUUCAGAACGCAGUUUGGUAAAAUGGAGAGAAUACCAGUGAAGAAAAAGGCUCCGGUUACGAACAUUCUAAUUGGGCUUUGGUUUGUCGGCGGGCCCAUAUCUUCAUAACAAUAAGUGGUCGGUUUGGCAAUAAUGAUUAGUGAGGUUCGAAUAUGGUUAUGGUAUAUGUCCAUUUUCAUCCAUUUUAUUACGUUAGUUGAUUAUUAACUCUAAUCAUUUUUAAUUUUAUGUUGGUGAUAUAAUUAGUUUCAUAAUCAUAUUUAUACGGUUAACGAUUAUAAAUGCUCAAAUUGAUUAUUCAUCGUUAUGAAACAAGUUCCUCGUUCGGGGAAGCCAACAUUAUUCAUAAUCAGUUCGGACCUGCAUUCUUCAUCACGGUGCGAGAACAAUUUGUAAUCAUAUAGAUUGCAAAGAAGAUUGCUCCAACAUAAUCGAUCCACUAGUAGAAUCUUUCACCAAGAGCAACAACAACGAGACCAGAUAUUGAUUACCACGUCAGUAACAACUUAUACUCAAAGCGAGAAUAAAUCUGUCCCCUCUCUAGCAACUGCACCCUUACUAUGUCUUCCCUUGGGAGAUUAGCUACUGAUCCAUCACCACUUCCAUUGCUAGCCCCAUGCCAUACUUGACUUGUUAGCGGUAGAAGGUGCGACAAUGCCUUGUUUUUACGAAAUACCGAGUGCCCGAUUGCUGUCAAGUAGAUUCUCCCAUCCCCGCUAAAUCCAACUAUUCCGAGAAUCUUGAUGAAUGCUGUCACUAGGUAGUCGAAGUUGACAUAUUGCCCCAUCUUGGAAGUGAUACUGGUGGAUUUCAGAAGCGCAAUCAGAGCAGAAGGAAGCUCGAACGAUAUAAUCAUCUGCUACCAAAUGCUUCAAAAAUUCAAUUUCUGUGACAGAUAUAAUUAUAAAGACAAAUAUAGCCAACGAAACUCAUUCACUCAUGCAUCUAAACUCUGAAGAUAUUAACACAGCUUCAUAUUGCGGCCAAAUGCCCCAAGAACAAGCUAAGCCUUAGCUACCAAAAUUUCAGCAUUACCGGAGGCCAUACUCUUGAUCAUUUCGAUUAAUCCCGGGAGGACUAAUCCAAACAAUCCGGUAUUCUGCUCAAGACUGUGCUCCGGCUUGUGUGUGCACUCCGUAACCUACGUGCACAAACGCCCUCUCCACUUCGGGAAGCUCUUCAAUCUUUAUUUGCAGUUACUGGCAUUUCCAAUGUCCCACUUACCACACUUUCCAGUGAGCUGACAUGUGAACCGAAACAAUGAAAUGAAAUAAUAUUUUCUCAACUGAAUUGGUUAACGGUCCUGCCAGUAGACUCACUCAUUCCAAUGAUUGGUUCGAGUUUAGGAUUAGCCUUGUCGUUGACUCGAGUUUAUCUUCAGCAGUAACGGACAUUCUCUGCAACUGAUCAAUGCUGCCGUGAAAAUGGAUGAAGUAACUGUCGACUGUUGAGUAACCUCUGCAUACACUAUGCACUUGCUGCAGGUUUCAACUGGGAUCAAAAAAGUAUCUAGUCUCUCAGCCCACACAAACCCAAGUUCAUUCUAACAGCCAAAGAUUACUAUUUUCAUAGCUAGCAGAGAAAGAUGACUUCCCAUCCAAAAAAACCGGUACAUGCGGAGCAAUUUCAAAAAGUUAUGGUCCAAUUUGGGUAACCCGGCAGGCUAUGCGGGCCCAAGAGGCAACCGGCCCGUAAUCCUUCCACUGACUGAAGAGGGAGGUGAUCGCUGCUCUGUGAAACCAGCCUCACGCAUUGCCCUCCUCUCUACGGACCAGGACGCCUCAGACUUCUCCGAGAUACCCAGGCCCAACUCCAGCCUUGGAACGGGCGAGCCAGAAAUCUGACCAACUAAGGCCCAACCAUUGAGGCAGACCCAAUGUUCCAUUACCUUAAUGCCUCCACUUGGAUCACAAGCUCGCGUUACCAAGCUCGGC
rnacentral:lncRNA from 1 species